rnacentral:rRNA from 1 species
AUUGAACGCUGGCGGUAGGCCUAACACAUGCAAGUCGAACGAGUGGCGGACGGGUGAGUAAUGUCUGGGAAACUGCCUGAUGGAGGGGGAUAACUACUGGAAACGGUAGCUAAUACCGCAUACCAUCAGAUGUGCCCAGAUGGGAUUAGCUAGUAGGUGGGGUAAAGGCUCACCAAGGCGACGAUCCCUAGCUGGUCUGAGAGGAUGACCAGCCACACUGGAACUGAGACACGGUCCAGACUCCUACGGGAGGCAGCAGUGGGGAAUAUUGCACAAUGGGCGCAAGCCUGAUGCAGCCAUGCCGCGUGUAUGAAGAAGGUCUUCGGGUUGUAAAGUACUUUCAGCGGGGAGGCGUUACCCGAAGAAGAAGCACCGGCUAACUCCGUGCCAGCAGCCGCGGUAAUAC